rnacentral:rRNA from 1 species
GACGAACGCUGGCGGCGUGCUUAACACAUGCAAGUCGAACGGACAGGUUCUUUUGGGGGUUCUUGAGUGGCGAACGGGUGAUUAACACGUGAGUAAUCUGCCCUUGAUUUCGGGAUAACUUCAGGAAACUGGGGCUAAUACCGGAUAGGAAUCAUUGCUGCAUGGUGGGUGUUGGAAAGUUAUGGCGGUUUUGGAUGGACUCGCGGAUUAUCAGCUUGUUGGUGGGGUAGUUACUUACCAAGGGUGUGACGGGUAGCCGUCCUGAGGGGGCGACCGGCGACAUUGGGACUGAGAUACGGCCCAGACGCCUACGGGAGGCAGCAGUGGGGAAUAUUGCACAAUGGGCGGAAGCCAGAUGCAGCAACGCCGCGUGCGUGAUGACGGCCUGCGGGUUGUAAACCGCUUUCAGCAGGGGCGAAGCUUGUGGUGACGGUACCUGCAGAAGAAGCACCGGCUAACUACGUG